rnacentral:tRNA from 1 species
CAUGCACGUCGACGAGGCGGCAGCCCUCACCGCUCGGAGCGGCGACGUCAAGACCAGCGCGUGGAUGCCGUUCGACUCCGCCGCGCUCGAC